AAUAAAAUUGUUGUACUCACUCAUAUAAUUGCAAGGAUAUGGCUUGCAAGUCUCUACCAGGUUACCGUAAAUAACCUGACUAUGGGUGAGCGAUGACUCCUA
rnacentral:ncRNA from 2 species